rnacentral:rRNA from 1 species
AUUGAACGCUGGCGGAAUGCUUUACACAUGCAAGUCGAACGGCAGCACGGGGGCAGCCCUGGUGGCGAGUGGCGAACGGGUGAGUAAUACAUCGGAACGUGCCCGGUCGUGGGGGAUAACGUAGCGAAAGGUACGCUAAUACCGCAUACGAUCUGAGGAUGAAAGCGGGGGACCUUCGGGCCUCGCGCGAUCGGAGCGGCCGAUGUCAGAUUAGGUAGUUGGUGGGGUAAAGGCCUACCAAGCCGACGAUCUGUAGCUGGUCUGAGAGGACGACCAGCCACACUGGGACUGAGACACGGCCCAGACUCCUACGGGAGGCAGCAGUGGGGAAUUUUGGACAAAGGGCGCAAGCCUGAUCCAGCCAUUCCGCGUGCAGGACGAAGGCCUUCGGGUUGUAAACUGCUUUUGUACGGAACGAAAAGGCUCUGGCUAAUACCUGGGGCUCAUGACGGUACCGUAAGAAUAAGCACCGGCUAACUACGUG